UAGUGGCGAACGGGUGAGUAACACGUGGGCAAUCUGCCCUUCACUCUGGGACAAGCCCUGGAAACGGGGUCUAAUACCGGAUAACACUCUGUCCCGCAUGGGACGGGGUUAAAAGCUCCGGCGGUGAAGGAUGAGCCCGCGGCCUAUCAGCUUGUUGGUGGGGUAAUGGCCUACCAAGGCGACGACGGGUAGCCGGCCUGAGAGGGCGACCGGCCACACUGGGACUGAGACACGGCCCAGACUCCUACGGGAGGCAGCAGUGGGGAAUAUUGCACAAUGGGCGAAAGCCUGAUGCAGCGACGCCGCGUGAGGGAUGACGGCCUUCGGGUUGUAAACCUCUUUCAGCAGGGAAGAAGCGAAAGUGACGGUACCUGCAGAAGAAGCGCCGGCUAACUACGUGCCAGCAGCCGCGGUAAUACGUAGGGCGCAAGCGUUGUCCGGAAUUAUUGGGCGUAAAGAGCUCGUAGGCGGCUUGUCACGUCGGAUGUGAAAGCCCGGGGCUUAACCCCGGGUCUGCAUUCGAUACGGGCUAGCUAGAGUGUGGUAGGGGAGAUCGGAAUUCCUGGUGUAGCGGUGAAAUGCGCAGAUAUCAGGAGGAACACCGGUGGCGAAGGCGGAUCUCUGGGCCAUUACUGACGCUGAGGAGCGAAAGCGUGGGGAGCGAACAGGAUUAGAUACCCUGGUAGUCCACGCCGUAAACGUUGGGAACUAGGUGUUGGCGACAUUCCACGUCGUCGGUGCCGCAGCUAACGCAUUAAGUUCCCCGCCUGGGGAGUACGGCCGCAAGGCUAAAACUCAAAGGAAUUGACGGGGCCCGCACAAGCAGCGGAGCAUGUGGCUUAAUUCGACGCAACGCGAAGAACCUUACCAAGGCUUGACAUAUACCGGA
rnacentral:rRNA from 1 species